rnacentral:rRNA from 1 species
GUCCACGCCGUAAACGAUGGAUACUAGCUGUUGGGCGCAAGUUCAGUGGCUAAGCGAAAGUGAUAAGUAUCCCACCUGGGGAGUACGUUCGCAAGAAUGAAACUCAAAGGAAUUGACGGGGGCCCGCACAAGCGGUGGAGCAUGUGGUUUAAUUCGAUGAUACGCGAGGAACCUUACCAAGGCUUAAAUGUAGAUUGACCGGUUUGGAAACAGAUCUUUCGCAAGACAAUUUACAAGGUGCUGCAUGGUUGUCGU